rnacentral:lncRNA from 1 species
CAACACCACAAUCACCACCACCACCACUACCACUAUAGCAAAGUACACUUACAUGUACAAGGCCAAGGUGAGAUCUGCAGUUUGCUCUUAAGUUAUGUUAUUUCAAAGCUCCCAAGCUAAUGAUUUUCUAAUGACUGAGGUUUCAUAUAGCAAAUUAUGUACUCUGCAAUCGUAUAUGUACCGAAGAAUAAAUAGGAAAGAAGUUAUUUUCAAUUUAAUUAUAUUAUUAUAAUCAUUAGCCUUUCAACUUUUGGUUGAAAGUUUGAACUACGCUUGUGGCGAAAUGUGCUCGACUCCGAACUUAAUUGUUAAUGAUUGUCAAAUUCCUCCUCUAGCUUCCUCCAACGCAAGUAAUUGGUAGCUAAGAUAUUUAAUAUGUCUCUUAAUGUGAGAGAGACACCAACACACAUAAACAAACAUACUUGAUGUAUAUUAAUCUAAGUUCGUUGUAAUUGAUCGGUAAUGCCAACUGGCAGUUUUGCAUUUCAUGCAUAAAAUGCUUCUAUCACCCUAAUAUAAUUUAAAAAAAAUACAAUUUAAAGAAGCGCACUUCUUUAAUACUAAAUAUUCAAAAUAUCUCUCUUUUUUUCAUUUAUCUCUCUCAAACGUUAAUACUUCUUUAUUUUUCCAAAUUUUGAUGCUGGUUUGUUUUGAUGAUUUACUGCCUCCAAAAAGUAAUAUUGUUUUCUUUUCCAAACUUUGAUAUUGCUCUGAUGUGAUCUUUUACGAAUUACUGCUGCAAAAAGUAAUACUUUUUUCCUCUCUAAACUUUGAUGAUGGUCUGUUAUAGCCUUUAAUAAUUAACUUUUCUCAAACGUUCAUUAUAUGAUUAAGCACAUUUUUGAUAGAGGUUAUUCUUGUGUAAAGUGGCGUAAUUAACUCACAGUAACUGGGGGGAAAAUAAGUAAGCGACCCAGUUUACACGUCAAUAACCGUUUCUUCCUUAUAAUUCUUAAGACAAAGAUUAACAAUUUUUUAUUAACAAUUUUUGUUCACAGGCUACUAUUUGCAAUCACAUGCGCAACUGACAUGUCGUUACUAGGGAGUGAACCACCAUAUUUCUGAAAUCCAUAAUUGUCCGAUUAACGCAAUAGAAUUUGAAAUGAAAAAGCAACUACCUCAAACAGUUCAUUUUAAUAUGAUUUUAUUUUAAUUUGAAGCGUACAAGUUAGGGAAUGAUAUUCAGCAUGAUAGUUGUCAAUCGUAUGAAGUCAUGUUUUGCCAUGACAUUAAAGCGCUAACAUCAUUCAUCAUAAUUCGCGGAAUUUUAUUUUAUUUCAAAUUCAAACAUUUUACAAGCUUUAUUAAUGCAUUAUUGCAUGCAUUAAAAAAAGAACGAGUUGUGUAUGUUUUUUUUUUAAAUCUCAAUUUGCUUAGAAUCUCUAACUUCCAUGCAUGUAUAGUGCGCAUGAAUAGAUCUCGGUGAAGGUUAUGGAAGUAGUUAAGGCAACAUAAGUUAUCGACGUGUAAACUAAAGCAAAAAUUUCUUAUAGACCAAUCCGAUUCAAAUAUAUAUAGAUAUGCAAAUCAUAUAAGAAUUAUAUUGUCUUACUUUCCAAACUUUGAUAUUUAUCUGUUGUAGUUUUUUUUUUUAUUAUUUACUACUCUGAAACGUUUAUAUCGGGCUAGUUCACUUCAAAAAUAUUCCCACAUCGAAUAUCCACGUCCUCAAAUUUCAGACCUUCGAAUAAUGUUUUUAUUGGUAAAAAUAUCGAUUUUGUUACCAGUAAACUAGAACUAUGCUAAAUAGUAUUUUAUAAACAUAUAUACUUUCACGGUACUACAAUCUGUCGAUAUGUAUAUUUUGGCAUUGGUCAAGGUCGUGUUUUUCUAAGAUGAUUGAUGACGUCUUUACACUAAAUCCAUUGGAUGUCGGAUGUGUAUUGAUUGAUACAUUAGUCUUAGAUACAUGAUUUUUUUUAUUAGUUGCUAUUGGCUUUUAACAAGCUGCCAGGAACUGUGACGACUCUAAGAUCUUUUAUGUGUCUAUUUUGUUGUUCGAAAUGUAUAAAUACCGGGUCAUGUCUGGUCUGGAUUUGUCUUGGUAUCGAUCUGAUGAGGUAAGCAAUUUUCAGCUGAUUUUUAUAGUUUGUUUUAAUGCUAUUCUGUAACACAACUAUCCGCGGAAAGGGGUGGAAUGUGCCCUCACUGACAUGUUAACCCCGCCACAUGUUAUAAAUGUCUGCCUCAAGUCAGAAGACCGUAGUUCAGUGGUUGUCGUUGGUUCCUAUCUGCCACAUAUGUUUUUCAUGAAUUGAUUUUUGUUAAAAUUAUGUUAGUUUUGUUAUCAAUAGAAUUGUGUCAUAUUUUUUAUGUCGGGGCCUCUUUUAUUAGACUAUCCAUUAUGGUUUUUUUCUCAUUGGUGAAGGUCAUAUGGUUGACUAUGUUUGCUUACAUCCACCUUAUUUAAACUUGGAUGGAAAGUUGUCUCAUCGUCAAAUAUACCAGAUCUCUUUAUAUUUCAUUUACUGUUUUACUUUCCAAACUAGUAAAGUCUAUUCCAGAAACAGUUGUCGGCAACUCCUUUCUCUUAUUUCCCUUCUGGUGCAGAUUUAUUUCUUGCAUGCAUUAACACGCAGUAUUUAAGUUGAUGUUUGAAGGCAUUAUCAAUAGUACCGUACACAUAGAUAUAAAAAGAUGUGGUAUGAGUGACAAUGUGACAACCUUCCAUACAAGUUAUACAUUUACGUUUUUAUAAUACGAUGAAUUGAAGUUUUCCUUUGGUAUUAUAAGGCUUGUCUGUGAAGAUUCCUGGCGAAAUUUGACUUUCAAUAAUCAAAUACACCGUAUCAACAUAGACGUUUGUACUAACUGAAAAAUAAAGAAAAACUUCUUGAUCUUGUAGAAUUUAAUAUGUCUGAAACCUAUGAUCCUUUCACUUUCUCUUGAAGUCUCCGAAAAUAACGUGGAGUGUUUCAAUUUAAAAUUAUUAUGCCAAGGCUUGUUAUUCGUUCUAUGAAGUAUACAUUGAUUUUAUAUUUUUGGCUUAACAUUAGCAAUCAAUUUACUGGACAAUCGACCUGUCAAAUUAAUUAACACGACGACAUUUUUAAAAGAAAACAUAACUAUUUAAUGAUUUCAAUACAAUUUUUUAUCAAAUCUAUCAAUUUUUUUUUUAAAGUCCGGUUAACCGGUUAGCGUUUUUGGUAUUCGGUAUUCGGUCGUUUUAACGGUUAACCGGUUAACCGUUGACAACACUAGUUUAAACACGAUUUUCAAAUAUAUAUACAAUAUUAGGUCAAUGUCAGCAAAAAUAUUAACUUUUUUUCCCGAGCUCUUCCCAGUUUUGCGCAGAGAACAAAAUAGUUUAUAUUUUUAUAACUUGACCUAAAAUUGUUUUAAUACUGUAACUUAAAUUAAAACAUUGAUAGUUUUUUAGUCGUAACACAAUUGUCAAACUUAUUUCAUCCCUUAAUGAACCCCUGAUUGCAGAGAUAAAGUUCCAUGAUGAAAUUGAAAUUAUACAAAAUAUAGCUAUGUUACUAUUGAAAAUCUUCUAAAAGAAAUAAUCCACAAUGCCUUUCAACAUAAAAAUGGUAGCAUACGCUAUAAAUGUAUUACUUUGGGAUAUCAUAAGGCAUAUUUCGUUAAUAGUGACAAACAAAAAGGUAAAACAUGCUACACAGAAGAACAAGUUGUCAGUAUGCUUGAGUUUCUUAUCGACAACAUAUUUGUUGAGUUUGGAGGUAGACUUUUCCAACAAAUUGUCGUCAUUCCUAAGGGAACAAACUGUGCGACUCUUCUUUUCUGAUUGGAUUCCAUUAAUAUAUCCCCCAAAACUAGAAAUUAAAGAAACAGCAGACACGGCUUCCCCUGCCUCAUUUUUAGACUUGUAUCUCGAAUUUGACUUACACAUUUUUUCCCCGCCUUAGUAGCAAUAUACCAACUUCACCUGCAUAUGGGAUAUAUAUUUCCCAACUUAUUCUAUAUUGAAGAGCUUGCAGCUCCUACUCAGACUUUGUAAACGUCAUCAGUGUCUGAGUAGAAAGUUGAUGAAUCAGGGGUAUGUCAAAGAACGUCUCGUCCUUUUUCUAAAAAAGUUCAUUGGAAGGUACCAAGACCUUGUUUAUAAAUAUUCCGUAUCAAUUUCACAAAUAAUACAUGAUGGUCUUGAGGUAUAGAUUAUGCGUACUGAUGUUAUUUAUCAUCUUAACAACGUGUUAUAUUGUUCUUUCAUGUGUCUUUGUUCUAUUAUUAAUAUUACUUCUACUGUUGGAUUGUUUUAUGUGAUAUCCAAUUAAUGUGGCUCGGUGCUUUAGCAUCCCGUCAAUGUGUUUGUAUUAUCUUUCAUUUUUUGCUGGUGUGCUUUGUAUGUGCGACUUUUUGUGUUUCUUUCUUUUCUUAUAACGUGACUCUUUGUUUUAAAAGAUCCCGUCAGUAAGAUAUUGUUCUUUUAUAUGUCAUUAUGAUGUAUUUCUAUUAUAAAUUAGAAAAUACGUUGAACCACAAACGUCAAAAUUAUUCAAUCGCGUAGUGGAAUGAACUAUUUGUGGAUUCUGAUAAACUCUAUAUAACUUUUGAACUAUUUUAAAUCCCGGUCUAUUUCUGAAAUUAAUUUUUACACACCCUGUAUGCUAACAUUGCCUACGUGAAAUUAUGAAAUUAUCUGUAUAUACAUUGAACGACAAAUAUAUGUGACGUAUAAUAUUUUCUGACGUCAGACAUUGAAUGUGUUUGUAGAUAGAUGUGUUUGUGUUCUGUUAAAUUGUUCCUUUAAAAAUUGUUACACGAUGAUGACUGCUGUACCCAUAUUUUGACUAUAUUUAUUUAUUAUGUCUGUUUAGUUCACGCAUCAUUGUAAAUAUUACUGAAUUUGAUGAGACUGUCAUCAAAGUGAGAGUUUUAGCGCUAUAAAACCAGGUUUAAUCCACCAUUUUCUACAUUUAAAAAUGCUUGUCAGGAAUAUGAGUUCUUGACCAUUCGUUUUUUAUGUGUUUUGUCAUUUGAUUUUUGCAUGUGAUUAUGGACUUUCCGAUUGGAUUUUCCUGUGAGUUCAGUAUUUUUGUGAUUUUACUUUUUACUAUAUUUAGGAAAUAAACACACAACUAGUUGCAAUAUAAAUAAAUUGAAUUGGAUUUGGCAAUCGACCAAGCCUAUGUAAGCCCUCUCAAUAAAUGAAUUAAAGGGGUUUUUAAAAAUUAUCAAAAACCUGCUUAUAAUGACUAUUCACGAUACCAAUUUUGUUGCUUUGUAUAUUCGGUGUCAGUUCUUUAUAUAUAAGCAUUUUCUUUGAGUAUUGUAAUAAUCUAUUUUACACUACAUGAAAUUAAAGUUUAAACAUUUAAAUGUAUGCUAAAAUCAAAUAUCUUAAUGUUUGUUGAUUCGCCCUUUAUACCUCCUUAUAUAAAAAGAGAACUUUUAAGGACUGUUAUGAAACUAUCAUAGCAUUACAAAAUAACCAAACAGUAAAUUUGUAACCAUAUUCGACCUAUAAGCUGUCCAUAAAUCAUCUGUCACGUAAAACAAUUUAUUCUUUUAUUUACCAGGUUUGACUGAAAUGCAACUUGGACACUCUACCAGUGUUCACCUUUACUUAUAGUGGAGAGGAAGCUUAUGCGAAGUAUAAAAUGUAACCGUAUUUUUUAAUUUAUAUCCUGUACUAUUUUAAUUAUUUAAAACAACUUUGUGAUGUUAGGGGUCUUUUCAACAUUACUUUUUUGUCAUCAAAAAUGAAUUGUUUACAAUCAUUGACCUUCCUAGAUUGAUUAUGUUUCUCUAUACAUAUAUAUUCUCAAUGUAGACUAGUAUAGAUUUCAGAUUUAAAUAGAAAGUUGUUUUUUAAUUUUUAACAUUGACUAUUAGUUUUUUGGCUAAUACGUCCAUUUUUUUAUUGGACUUUGUAAUUUGUGUUAGAAACGACUUUCAGUAAUUUUUGUUGGUGUAAAUAUGUCUUUUAAAUUGAAUAAAGUGUUAAUCUAACAUGGGGUUGCGUAUUCUGUCGCACCAAACAAAAAAGUCAUCUGACCGUGGCGCAAAACAAAUUCCCUUACUAUUUUCACGAGUUCACUUAAUGUACCUAUCCCUAAACUUUAACUGAACCGAGUAGUCUGAUUAUUGUUUGAAUUAUCACACUGAUAGGCUGCAUUUGGAAAAUACUUUCAAUAAUCUUUGAUGUUGGCUUUGCGUUGUCUGUUGAAUCCAUUGUCAAUUUACCAUAUUGUAUAAAAGGUAUAAGCCCUCAUGAAAAUGUUGUUAUAUAUCUUUAUCAUAUAUUUAGUAGUAAAUACAGUAGUUUUUAACAUUUGAUAAAUAGCCUGCUGUUUAAUCCAUAUCGCGCACCCUUUAUCAUACGCUUUAUCACACCCUUACAGUUACUAUUUUUUUUUUUAUUUUUACUUAAAGUCAGUUGUAAUUUGUGCAAGCUUAUCAAGAAAUAUUUUUCCUCAAAAAGGGUCCUAAAUUGACGGUCAUUCGGGCGUGAUGCAAUUUAUUGAAUGACGUCAUUGUUUGGCAUGCGACGUCACAAACGUCGAGUUUUCAUAUUUUCUGGCACACGAAAUGCAACUAUAAAACAGAACUAAAUGAAAUACCAUACAAAACACACAAAAAAUACAAUAAACAAAAUAUUUUUAAAACAACAGCACACAAAUUGUAAGGUAACCCAGGUGCUUCGGAUGAGUAAUUGAUCAGUCCGUUAAAGGGAAACUUCGCAAAAAAAUCAAAAAUUGAUAUUAUGUCCAUUCUGUAUAAAAAGGCUCAAAUUUAUAGAUAUUAAAGUUUUAUUCCGCUAGAUAAGAGAUCAACAUCGAUUUUAAAAUUUGAGUAUCAAUUUUCUACGCUCCGCCAUCUUGUCAUCUUCUACGAUUAUAAUCACGAUAUGUCUAUAAAACACAAAGGACCAAAACUACAGUAACCGAUGUAGUCGUAAUUGCGUGUCGAUAUCUUGUCAAUCGUACGAUUGUUUUAUCUGACUAACUAUAAACUUGAUACGGAAAAUGUUCUUAUUUUUUUUUAAAUGACCAUUAUUAUAUAUCUGUUAUUUUUAAACUGUUAAUAUUGGAAUUAGUUAAAGAGUCACAGUUCAAAUAAUAAAUAAGUGUUCCGUGAAAAUUGUUUUCAAAAAUCUAAUUCGUUCAUAAUUCUUUAAAGUAAUAAACUUUAUUCAAAUAAAUUCGGAUCUUUCCUCAUCUGAUCACCAGCAUGGCUAAAGGUAUUACUCCCAAAGGUAUUGUGAGGGGUGUGAGGACUCAGGUGACACGUCCGGGUAUUCAAGCGAUUUCCUGUCGGGCUUGCAAGUUCAUGCAUCGUUUCACUUCUGUAGGUAUUGAUCAGUGUACACGGCAGACUUAUAACUUUCCAUUUUGAACUAUCAGGUGUAUAAUACACAUCUCUGUCUUGUGUGUCCGAAAGUGAUAUGAUGCCAAUAAUUUAACUCGUACGCUUGUUUAUAAAUAACAUUUCUGGUGUAAAGAAUAUUAUUUAUGAAAAUAUAAAAAAUACCACAAAAAAAAAAAAAAGAUUUGAAGAAAUAAAAAUCUAUAUACAUAUUUUUUCCGAGGGUUAAUUUGGGAAAAUGUAAUUUGUCAAUUAUAGUAAAGGACAGACUGGUACAUACCAAAAAUAUUGAUUUAAAAAAUGUACGCACUUGUCGAUGUUGGCUUAUACGCCUGGAUAGAAAGUUACGGAACUAUAGUGCAAUUUAAAAUAUAUACAUGUAUCAGACUAUAUUGUAUACCAAAAGAAGAAGAAGAAGAAGAAGAAGAAGAGAACCAGUUUGAUUUAAAUACAGGUCGAUAUAUAUCUUGCUUUGGUUCAUCGAAGUUAUGAACAUAGUAAAAUCCCAGUUUUAUGUAUCAAUUAGAUUGUUCUCGAAUAAAGGAAGAAAUUCGUCAUCAUCACAAUUGUUCCGACAUUCAUGUAAAAUAUAUGCAACUGGACGUACACUAAUAAUCCCAAAGGGGUGUGAGUAUUUUCUAGGAAAACUAUUGAGUAUUAAAGUUUCAAAUCAAUUUCGGGAUUUAUUUUCUUUCUUGCCGUGAUAUGAUAGCAAUUUAAAGAAUAAACUGCUUGUUCGCUUUAGCGGUAUCAGAGACAUGUAUAUAUGUCUCUG